CGUAGGGUGCAAGCGUUAAUCGGAAUUACUGGGCGUAAAGCGUGCGCAGGCGGUUAUGUAAGACAGAGGUGAAAUCCCCGGGCUCAACCUGGGAACUGCCUUUGUGACUGCAUAGCUAGAGUACGGCAGAGGGGGAUGGGAUUCCGCGUGUAGCAGUGAAAUGCGUAGAUAUGCGGAGGAACACCGAUGGCGAAGGCAAUCCCCUGGGCCUGUACUGACGCUCAUGCACGAAAGCGUGGGGAGCAAACAGGAUUAGAUACCCUGGUAGUCCACGCCCUAAACGAUGUCAACUGGUUGUUGGGUCUUCACUGACUCAGUAACGAAGCUAACGCGUGAAGUUGACCGCCUGGGGAGUACGGCCGCAAGGUUG
rnacentral:rRNA from 1 species